CAGUGGCAGCAGACAGCAUUUGGAACAGGAGGAAACACACAAAGGAACCAAAGAAGUGCUCAUCGCUGGACCAAGAAAGAAGGUGUCUUGUAAAAGCAAGUCUACAGAUAACCCUUCAUGAUUUGAUAUCCACUCUACAUGCUGCUCUAGAAGCCAGUAAAUGAAGCUAUAAAGACCACACAGCUGCCAGAGUCUUCAGACUUCUAAGUCUCUGUACUAUGCAGCCAGGAACUUCACCUCAAGGCAGGUAGCAAGGCAUGGCCUGCUCCCCAGGGAUGGCAGAUUAAGGGGUUUAACUUCCAUGUCAGUGUUAACUCAGCCCUGGCUCAGUGGCUCCAGCCUGAAACUCAGAGGAGGAGCAGGGCAGUUGAUUGCUCUUGUCACUGCCCACACAGUGCUGUGGUCUGCAAAGGAUAACCAAUUCUUGGUUCCAGAGGACAGUGUCUAUACCUCAGAUGCCUGAGUUAGAAAAGUGUCCACCUACAAACUCUGCCAAGGGGAAAGAAACCCAAGAGAUCUACUGAAGCUCACACCCCAGACCCCCAGUCCCUGUCUUGGUUCAUUUGCAUCUUACACAUCAUUAUAUUCAGAGCAAGAUCACAGGGCAUGAAUUCACCCCA